rnacentral:lncRNA from 1 species
UGAAAGAGUAAGAGAGAGAUCUUUGAGAGGAAGAAGAAGUUUUUUUUUGUGUUUGAUUUUUUUUUUUGUGAUAUGUUGUUAAAACAACACAGACGAAUGGAGAAGGAAGAAGAAAACAAAGAUGUUUUUUUUACUAUUUCUCCUUGCCACGUGUCAAACAUGGAGUGGAGAUUUUUUUAAAGUGAAAAAUAUCUGGUUAGUUUCCAUUGAAACUAACCGCCCACCCUUUUUUUUCUUU